rnacentral:rRNA from 1 species
AUUGAACGCUGGCGGCAGGCCUAACACAUGCAAGUCGAGCGGAUGAAGGGAGCUUGCUCCUGGAUUCAGCGGCGGACGGGUGAGUAAUGCCUAGGAAUCUGCCUGGUAGUGGGGGAUAACGUCCGGAAACGGGCGCUAAUACCGCAUGCGUCCUGAGGGAGAAAGUGGGGGAUCUUCGGACCUCACGCUAUCAGAUGAGCCUAGGUCGGAUUAGCUAGUUGGUGGGGUAAAGGCCUACCAAGGCGACGAUCCGUAACUGGUCUGGGAGGAUGAUCAGUCACACUGGAACUGAGACACGGUCCAGACUCCUACGGGAGGCAGCAGUGGGGAAUAUUGGACAAUGGGCGAAAGCCUGAUCCAGCCAUGCCGCGUGUGUGAAGAAGGUCUUCGGAUUGUAAAGCACUUUAAGUUGGGAGGAAGGGCAGUAAGUUAAUACCUUGCUGUUUUGACGUUACCAACAGAAUAAGCACCGGCUAACUUCGUG